UAACAAUAAAAUUUCAUGCUCCUUAAUAAAGUAAUAAAUUUAGGAAUGCAAGGCGUAGGUUACGCCUUCUACCGCCCUCUGUCGGAAAUCGGCAGGAAGUCAUCGACCGUGAGCUGUCUGAUCCUGGAUCGGCCUUCCUCGCCAUCUAGCGUGGGAUAGCUGCACUCUUGUAUUCCUCUAUGGACUUACGUGGAUCAUAGUUGCCAUGUUGAAAAAUAGAAGUAAAUCGUCAUCGAGCGUUUGCCUUCCUUCCUUUUAUUCGUAACCAGACUUAAUUAUGGGUUUUUUUAAGCUCCGCGUUAAUCGCGAAGAGUUUAGUAUUAUAUUUUAUUGUUGACUUAAUUUCCAUUGAACGUCCGGAGCCGGCUGUUUGCGGUGUGAGCCGAUUUAGGCUUGGCAACACUAGUCCCGUCCAAAAUGGCGAAUGAGAUGGGAUUUCUUUUUGCCGGAGAGAGAGUUGAAGGGAUAUCGUUGGCCCAGGCCAAAAUCGGGCGCAAUCGCCCGUUUGAGUGAGUUUCAAUAGUGAUUCGGUUGUGUAUUUCUUUUUAGUUGGUUAGUUUCUAACGAAGCGUUGCAUAUUUUCCAGCCCCGGAAUCGGACGUGAAUAAAACCAUGUUCUGAUGGUGAUAGGCGACGCCCAGCGUGCCCGGAUGUCGAAAUAGGUGCAAUUUUGCCCUCUGCUGGCCCUUUCUCCAUCAACGGGUUCACGCCGCGUCGCCUAAACCUCGCGCCGGCCGCGAGAGCUUCCCCUGGUAUCCCGGUAACUUGUGGGCAGCAGAUUGCUGCUGUUCUACCUACUCCCGACGUUUCACCCCAAGGCUGCUGACGUGGCAGUUGUGGUGUUUCGAGGUCAGAUCUUUCCACGUUUACUUAUUGACUGAAUGAACCGGCCUUUCGGUUCUGGCGCCCUUCCGUGUAACUACCUUAAUAUAUAUUGACCGCUGUAUCCGUUUCUACCAGUAAUGAUAAUUUAGAGCUCGCUGACCCACGUUUGUUCCCUUAAAAUAUAAACUCAACAUUAUUGUUCUCGUGAGCUAGCCCUCGGCAAACAAUUGUUACCGUGUAUCUAGGAUAACAAAUUAGCAUAAACAAUUUAGAUUUUUUUCCUGAAUUCAAUAAAUACCUGGUUCCUCUUCAA